UGCGCAGGCGGCCAUGUGUGUGAGGCGUGAAAGCCCGAUGCUUAACAUCGGAAUUGCACCUCAAACUACAUGGCUAGAGCAUUGGAGAGGGUAGCAGAAUUCACGGUGUAGCAGUGAAAUGCGUAGAUAUCGUGAGGAAUACCAGAGGCGAAGGCGGCUACCUGGACAAUUGCUGACGCUCAGGCACGAAAGCGUGGGGAGCAAAAG
rnacentral:rRNA from 1 species